GGAGGCUUAGCUCAGCAGGUUAGAGCGCUUGCUUCACACGCAAGAGGUCACUGGUUCGAGUCCAGUAGUCUCCACCA
rnacentral:tRNA from 1 species